GAUGAACGCUGGCGGCGUGCCUAAUACGUGCAAGUCGAGCGAACGGACGAGAAGCUUGCUUCUCUGAUGUUAGCGGCGGACGGGUGAGUAACACGUGGAUAACCUACCUAUAAGACUGGGAUAACUUCGGGAAACCGGAGCUAAUACCGGAUAAUAUUUUGAACCGCAUGGUUCAAAAGUGAAAGACGGUCUUGCUGUCACUUAUAGAUGGAUCCGCGCUGCAUUAGCUAGUUGGUAAGGUAACGGCUUACCAAGGCAACGAUGCAUAGCCGACCUGAGAGGGUGAUCGGCCACACUGGAACUGAGACACGGUCCAGACUCCUACGGGAGGCAGCAGUAGGGAAUCUUCCGCAAUGGGCGAAAGCCUGACGGAGCAACGCCGCGUGAGUGAUGAAGGUCUUCGGAUCGUAAAACUCUGUUAUUAGGGAAGAACAUAUGUGUAAGUAACUGUGCACAUCUUGACGGUACCUAAUCAGAAAGCCACGGCUAACUACGUGCCAGCAGCCGCGGGUAUACGUAGGUGGCAAGCGUUAUCCGGAAAUAUUGGGCGUAAAGCGCGCGUAGGCGGUUUUUUAGUCUGAUGUGAAAGCCCACGGCUCAACCGUGGAGGGUCAUUGGAAACUGGAAAACUUGAGUGCAGAAGAGGAAAGUGGAAUUCCAUGUGUAGCGGUGAAAUGCGCAGAGAUAUGGAGGAACACCAGUGGCGAAGGCGACUUUCUGGUCUGUAACUGACGCUGAUGUGCGAAAGCGUGGGGAUCAAACAGGAUUAGAUACCCUGGUAGUCCACGCCGUAAACGAUGAGUGCUAAGUGUUAGGGGGUUUCCGCCCCUUAGUGCUGCAGCUAACGCAUUAAGCACUCCGCCUGGGGAGUACGACCGCAAGGUUGAAACUCAAAGGAAUUGACGGGGACCCGCACAAGCGGUGGAGCAUGUGGUUUAAUUCGAAGCAACGCGAAGAACCUUACCAAAUCUUGACAUCCUUUGACAACUCUAGAGAUAGAGCCUUCCCCUUCGGGGGACAAAGUGACAGGUGGUGCAUGGUUGUCGUCAGCUCGUGUCGUGAGAUGUUGGGUUAAGUCCCGCAACGAGCGCAACCCUUAAGCUUAGUUGCCAUCAUUAAGUUGGGCACUCUAAGUUGACUGCCGGUGACAAACCGGAGGAAGGUGGGGAUGACGUCAAAUCAUCAUGCCCCUUAUGAUUUGGGCUACACACGUGCUACAAUGGACAAUACAAAGGGCAGCGAAACCGCGAGGUCAAGCAAAUCCCAUAAAGUUGUUCUCAGUUCGGAUUGUAGUCUGCAACUCGACUACAUGAAGCUGGAAUCACUAGUAAUCGUAGAUCAGCAUGCUACGGUGAAUACGUUCCCGGGUCU
rnacentral:rRNA from 1 species